GACGAACGCUGGCGGCGUGCUUAACACAUGCAAGUCGAACGGAACUCAUUGGAUCAAGACUUCGGUCAAGUGAAUUUGAGUUUAGUGGCGGACGGGUGAGUAACGCGUGAGGAACCUGCCUUUCAGAGGGGGACGACAGUUGGAAACGACUGCUAAUACCGCAUAACGCGUAGAGGUCGCAUGGCCUUUACGCCAAAGAUUUAUCGCUGAAAGAUGGCCUCGCGUCUGAUUAGCUGGUUGGCGAGGUAACGGCCCACCAAGGCGACGAUCAGUAGCCGGACUGAGAGGUUGACCGGCCACAUUGGGGCUGAGAUACGGCCCAG
rnacentral:rRNA from 1 species